rnacentral:rRNA from 1 species
ACUCAAAGGAAUUGACGGGGACCCGCACAAGCGGUGGAGCAUGUGGAUUAAUUCGAUACUAACCGAAGAACCUUACCCAGACUUGACAUCGAUCGCAAAGCCCUGAAAGGGGCUCCUCUCCCACAAGGAGACGUGAAGACACUUGUUGCAUGGCUGUCGUCAGCUCGUGCCGUGAGGUGUACGGUUAAGUCCGCCAACGAGCGCAACCCUCGACGUGUGUUACCAGCGGGAAAGCCGGGGACUCACACGUGACCGCCGGUGUAAGCCGGAGGAAGGUGGGGAUGACGUCAAGUCAGCAUGGCAGUUACGUCUGGGGCUUCACACAUGCUACAAUGGACGAAACAAAGGGCAGCGAUACCGCGAGGUGGAGCCAAUCCCAAAAAUACGUCCUCAGUUCAGAUUGCAGUCUGCAACUCGACUGCAUGAAGGCGGAAUCGCUAGUAAACGCAGGUCAGCUAUACUGCGUUGAAUACGUUCCCGGGUCUUGUACACACCGCCCGU